rnacentral:rRNA from 1 species
AGAGUUUGAUCCUGGCUCAGGAUGAACGCUAGCUACAGGCUUAACACAUGCAAGUCGAGGGGCAGCAUUUUAGUUUGCUUGCAAACUGAAGAUGGCGACCGGCGCACGGGUGAGUAACACGUAUCCAACCUGCCGUCUACUCUUGGACAGCCUUCUGAAAGGAAGAUUAAUACAAGAUGGCAUCAUGAGUCCGCAUGUUCACAUGAUUAAAGGUAUUCCGGUAGACGAUGGGGAUGCGUUCCAUUAGAUAGUAGGCGGGGUAACGGCCCACCUAGUCUUCGAUGGAUAGGGGUUCUGAGAGGAAGGUCCCCCACAUUGGAACUGAGACACGGUCCAAACUCCUACGGGAGGCAGCAGUGAGGAAUAUUGGUCAAUGGGCGAGAGCCUGAACCAGCCAAGUAGCGUGAAGGAUGACUGCCCUAUGGGUUGUAAACUUCUUUUAUAAAGGAAUAAAGUCGGGUAUGCAUACCCGUUUGCAUGUACUUUAUGAAUAAGGAUCGGCUAACUCCGUGCCAGCAGCCGCGGUAAUACGGAGGAUCCGAGCGUUAUCCGGAUUUAUUGGGUUUAAAGGGAGCGUAGAUGGAUGUUUAAGUCAGUUGUGAAAGUUUGCGGCUCAACCGUAAAAUUGCAGUUGAUACUGGAUAUCUUGAGUGCAGUUGAGGCAGGCGGAAUUCGUGGUGUAGCGGUGAAAUGCUUAGAUAUCACGAAGAACUCCGAUUGCGAAGGCAGCCUGCUAAGCUGCAACUGACAUUGAGGCUCGAAAGUGUGGGUAUCAAACAGGAUUAGAUACCCUGGUAGUCCACACGGUAAACGAUGAAUACUCGCUGUUUGCGAUAUACUGCAAGCGGCCAAGCGAAAGCGUUAAGUAUUCCACCUGGGGAGUACGCCGGCAACGGUGAAACUCAAAGGAAUUGACGGGGGCCCGCACAAGCGGAGGAACAUGUGGUUUAAUUCGAUGAUACGCGAGGAACCUUACCCGGGCUUAAAUUGCAGAUGAAUUACGGUGAAAGCCGUAAGCCGCAAGGCAUCUGUGAAGGUGCUGCAUGGUUGUCGUCAGCUCGUGCCGUGAGGUGUCGGCUUAAGUGCCAUAACGAGCGCAACCCUUGUUGUCAGUUACUAACAGGUUCCGCUGAGGACUCUGACAAGACUGCCAUCGUAAGAUGUGAGGAAGGUGGGGAUGACGUCAAAUCAGCACGGCCCUUACGUCCGGGGCUACACACGUGUUACAAUGGGGGGUACAGAAGGCGGCUACCUGGUGACAGGAUGCUAAUCCCAAAAACCUCUCUCAGUUCGGAUCGAAGUCUGCAACCCGACUUCGUGAAGCUGGAUUCGCUAGUAAUCGCGCAUCAGCCAUGGCGCGGUGAAUACGUUCCCGGGCCUUGUACACACCGCCCGUCAAGCCAUGAAAGCCGGGGGUACCUGAAGUACGUAACCGCAAGGAGCGUCCUAGGGUAAAACUGGUAAUUGGGGCUAAGUCGUAACAAGGUAGCCGUACCGGAAGGUGCGGCUG